GACGAACGCUGGCGGCGUGCUUAACACAUGCAAGUCGAGCGGAAAGGCCACUUCGGUGGUACUCGAGCGGCGAACGGGUGAGUAACACGUGAGUAAUCUGCCCCUCACUUUGGGAUAGCCCCGGGAAACUGGGAUUAAUACCGGAUAUGACUGCCGGCCGCAUGGUCUGGUGGUGGAAAGUUUUUCGGUGGGGGAUGUGCUCGCGGCCUAUCAGCUUGUUGGUGGGGUAAUGGCCUACCAAGGCUUCGACGGGUAGCCGGCCUGAGAGGGUGACCGGCCACACUGGGACUGAGACACGGCCCAGACUCCUACGGGAGGCAGCAGUGGGGAAUAUUGGACAAUGGGCGGAGGCCUGAUCCAGCAACGCCGCGUGAGGGAUGACGGCCUUCGGGUUGUAAACCUCUUUCAGCGGGGACGAAGCGCAAGUGACGGUACCCGCAGAAGAAGCACCGGCCAACUACGUGCCAGCAGCCGCCGUAA
rnacentral:rRNA from 1 species